rnacentral:lncRNA from 1 species
GCUUUGGGGCCCAGGAUGGAGGAGGACCGGGUGCAGUUGGGGCUGCACUGGGGGGGCCGGAGCUGGAGGGGGGCCUAGCAGAGUUGAGGCCUCCUCUGGGCCCAGACAAAAAGGGCCCAGGCGCAACCAGGUCCUUGGGGCCCGGGAUGAAGCAGGACCAGGCCCAGUUGGGGCUGCUUUGGGGCCCAGGAUGGAGGAGGACCGGGCACAGUGGGGGCUGCUUUGGGGCCCAGGAUGGAGGAGGACCAGGCACGGUGGGGGCUGCUUUGGGGCUCAGGAUGGAGGAGACUCAGGCACAGUUGGGGCUGCUUUGGGGCCCGGGCUGGUGGGAGGCCCGGCACAGCCAGAGCCUUGUGGCUGCACUCCCUCUGUACAGUUCAACCUUGAUCCCUAACCUAAAAUGGUAACUGUAGUGAAAGGCAGUAGCUGAUCCAGCUGCUUUCCUGUGUUUUAAUUUUCCUAAGAAUGGGGAAGGACUCAAGCUAGUAAACAAAGACCCCUUUCUGAAGAACAGGACUCAGAAAGUAUUAGCACAGAGCAGAUCUCCCCUUAGUAGGAGAGAAGUAGAGAUUCUUCCCCUUAGACAGGCAGCCCUUAAAUGAG